GAUGAACGCUGGCGGCGUGCCUAAUACAUGCAAGUCGAGCGAACAGACGAGGAGCUUGCUCCUCUGACGUUAGCGGCGGACGGGUGAGUAACACGUGGAUAACCUACCUAUAAGACUGGGAUAACUUCGGGAAACCGGAGCUAAUACCGGAUAAUAUAUUGAACCGCAUGGUUCAAUAGUGAAAGACGGUUUUGCUGUCACUUAUAGAUGGAUCCGCGCCGCAUUAGCUAGUUGGUAAGGUAACGGCUUACCAAGGCAACGAUGCGUAGCCGACCUGAGAGGGUGAUCGGCCACACUGGAACUGAGACACGGUCCAGACUCCUACGGGAGGCAGCAGUAGGGAAUCUUCCGCAAUGGGCGAAAGCCUGACGGAGCAACGCCGCGUGAGAGAUGAAGGUCUUCGGAUCGUAAAACUCUGUUAUUAGGGAAGAACAAAUGUGUAAGUAACUAUGCACGUCUUGACGGUACCUAAUCAGAAAGCCACGGCUAACUACGU
rnacentral:rRNA from 1 species